rnacentral:lncRNA from 1 species
ACCGAAAAUAUUUGUCUCUAUGGAGACAGAAUUUUUUGAAUUUAGAGACGGACAAUUUUGUCUCUAAUAGAGACGGAUUUAUUGUGUUUUGAAUUCAAUGUUUAGAGACGAAUAUUUAUUUGUUAGUGACGGAUAGAUUCGGUCUCCAAUCAGAGACGGAAUAUAAAAUCCGUCUCUGAUAGUUUAGAGACGAGGAAAUUAACGACAGAAUCAAAUCUGUCUCUAA